rnacentral:lncRNA from 1 species
ACAAACUCCUCCCGACAUCGAAGCUGGGCCUGGAGGCUCUAAAGCCUCCCCCACUAAUGUGCUUCACCUCCGAUAGCAUCGGGGAACCGACUUGUGAGUGACCUUGAGGUCCUCUUCUUCCCCUGAUGUCCUCGAGCUCAGCGGCAUGGGCAGCCUUCUCACUGGCAGAGACGUUGAUGUUCUAGGCCAAAUUUUGAUUAUUGCAUGAAGAAGCGAGCCU